rnacentral:lncRNA from 1 species
GUUGGACUUCUUAUUCUGAGAACAGAGCUCUGAGCUUUAGAAAUUUGGAAACUGUUCCUCAGUGCCCAUGUCUGCAUCUAUGUGGGUUGGCUGUGUCUCAAGGAAGGUGUUGGCACCAGAGAAGGAUAGAGGAACCAAUCUUUAUCUUCCUCCAAAGGUCAAGACAUCAACUGGAUGGCCUGGAUAGGGCUUCUGGAGCUUGGAACCAGGUCCCAGGGA